rnacentral:rRNA from 1 species
GACGAACCGUGCGAACGUUGUUCGGAAUCACUGGGCUUAAAGGAGCGCUGUGAGCGGGCGGUCAAGUCUGUGGUGAAAUCCUUCGGCUCAACCGGAGAAUAGCUGGAGAUACUGGCCGUCUCGAGGGGGGUAGGGGCAUGUGGAACUUCCGGUGGAGCGGUGAAAUGCGUAGAUAUCGGAAGGAACGCCGGUGGCGAAAGCGACGUGCUGGACCCUUUCUGACGCUGAGGCGCGAAAGCCAGGGGAGCAAACGGG